rnacentral:rRNA from 1 species
ACGGGUGAGUAACACGUGGGAACGUACCUUUUGGUUCGGAACAACACAGGGAAACUUGUGCUAAUACCGGAUAAGCCCUUACGGGGAAAGAUUUAUCGCCAAAAGAUCGGCCCGCGUCUGAUUAGCUAGUUGGUAGGGUAACGGCCUACCAAGGCGACGAUCAGUAGCUGGUCUGAGAGGAUGAUCAGCCACAUUGGGACUGAGACACGGCCCAAACUCCUACGGGAGGCAGCAGUGGGGAAUAUUGGACAAUGGGCGCAAGCCUGAUCCAGCCAUGCCGCGUGAGUGAUGAAGGCCCUAGGGUUGUAAAGCUCUUUUGUACGGGAAGAUAAUGACGGUACCGUAAGAAUAAGCCCCGGCUAACUUCGUGCCAGCAGCCGCGGUAAUACGAAGGGGGCUAGCGUUGCUCGGAAUCACUGGGCGUAAAGGGUGCGUAGGCGGGUUUUUAAGUCAGAGGUGAAAUCCUGGAGCUCAACUCCAGAACUGCCUUUGAUACUGGGAAUCUUGAGUAUGGAAGAGGUGAGUGGAACUGCGAGUGUAGAGGUGAAAUUCGUAGA